rnacentral:pre_miRNA from 1 species
UUUGUACUCCCUCCGUCCGGAAAUACUUGUCAUCAAAAUGGAUAAAAGGGGAUGUAUCUAGACGUAUUUUAGUUUUAGAUACAUCUCUUUUUAUCCAUUUUGAUGACAAGUAUUUUCAGACGGAGGGAGUACUUA